ACGCCGCCGCGACAUCGCACCGCAACCAGUUCGGCCCCGUGCAGCAUGGCCGGAUACCGACGCCGCCGCAACAUCUAGCGAUGCCGUCACCAAUCUCGCCAGGUAGGUUGACCCCGAAGCAUCCUGGGAGAAGGAUUGCCGUUUCUUACGGCCGGCCAUUGCUGUUCUUCCAUCAUCGCCAGGUACGCCAAGAUUGUUCUUCCAUCAUCUGCAGUUAUACUGUAUGACCGUGAAAAGAACUAUUGUUGCUGCCGCGGCUGAUUCUUGUUUCUUACGGCCGGCCAAACCGACGGGAUUCUGAUUUAUUGUGCGCGUUCUUGCGGUUCCGAUUUGCAGCAUCAGCUGAUGGACGCAGAUGCGUUUCUCUUUCAAUGUGAUAGAUUGGUCCAACUGUUAGCCAAAUUCAGUUAGCUAGAUAGGGAUUUGAUAGAGUAAUAAGAAUUAAUGAUUUAAUAGCAGUAGUUCUUGGCAUCCAUGCUCUAAAAAAACAGAGCAAAGAGGAUGGAGUUACAUUGGUUCAGUGCUGGCUAACAGUUCGUGUCAAAUUCGUCUUCCCUCGUCUUAUUUUGUCACUGGCCUUAAGGGACGUGUGAUUCCUGUACUUAUAGCUGCCUUAAGCCCUUAAAUAGUGGGCACACACGACAGUUUCAGAUACUGGUCUACAUUACCUACUCCCUCUACAUGGUUAUGUCUGACUGCCAGGGACGAAAUCACUUAAACUGUCUACGGUCCAGCUGAAAAUUUCAAGCUCAAGCAGAUGACCGAAAAACUCUGCCAUGAGGAAAACAAAAAUGCAAAGUUGAACGAAAGCUUGCAACUGAUGCAGCUCAAAUAAGCUUCUAAUGAAAAUAUCUUCAGGAGAACACUUCAGGAUAAGAUAAGGGAGACUGAGCAAGCAUGCAGAACUCAGCAACAGCGGGUACAUCCAUGAGGCCACUUCUUGCCGCUCGAGGCAAGCAACAACAUGCAGCCACUGCCGGGCCCUUCCAUACUGAGGCUUGAUGAUAGGGAACUUCAGUAAGAGAACAUUCCUGUGGUGAAUAAAGCAGUUGUAGACAAGGCUGCUGGCCAAGCUCGGCGUGUAUGUUUAGUUCCCAUGAUGCGAUAAAUCCCUCUCCAGCCUAAGAGGCGAUCCUCGUUUGCGGUCCUUCCAAUCAAGAGAGAGCGGAUCUCAAUUCAACAAGCAGCAGCAGAACCGACAGUUGAUGAAACUGCUGACGUGAGGCAAGUUCAAAGGCCUCUAGUUCGGCAGCAAGAGCAAGUUCUCAAGCCCUCAAAUGUUCAAGUCAAGGAACAAUAUUGCAGGUUCUGGAAAUGUUUGGAAUGAUCAAAUUGUUGUGGAAAACGGACAUUGCUUGGAGAAAACGAGUGUCUGGGAGCUUGUGUUGAUAAGAAAACUUGUGUUAGUGUUCUUUUUGGUGAUGAUAUAUGUUCUACUUUUAGGGUUGUGUAUAAUUAUACCGUGAAGCUGCUCGCGUGUGUUACUUAUAAGACAACUAGAGCACUUAUAAGACAACUAGAGCAGCAUAGCAUAACUCGAUUA